rnacentral:sRNA from 1 species
GGAAAACAGGCUUAGAGAGAUGAUGUGAUUUAUUCAAGGUCACAUAGAGGGGUAGGUGACAAAGGCAGGCUCAAGCCCAGGUCUCCUGUCCUGCAGCUUACACGGCCGUGCUGACUCAGUAAAUGAUGGCGGCUUCAGCAGGAAGCCCAGGGACAGCAGAGCCGGUCGCCUCUCAUUCUGUACGAAGGUGUGCUAUGGCAUUGGUGGGGUCCCCAACCAGAUAGCCUCCAGCGCCACAGCCUUUUACCUGCAGCUUUUCCUGCUUGAUAUAGCACAGAUCCCUGCCGCCCAGGUGUCACUUGUUCUGUUUGGGGGAAAAGUGUCUGGGGCGGCUGCUGACCCUGUGGCUGGGUUCUUCAUCAACAGGAGCCAAAGGACAGGGUCUGGACGGCUCAUGCCUUGGGUGCUGGGCUGCACCCCCUUCAUCGCCCUGGCCUACUUCUUCCUGUGGUUCCUGCCCCCCUUCACCAGCCUGCGAGGCCUCUGGUACACGACUUUCUACUGCCUGUUCCAGGCCCUGGCCACGGGAUGACUGCGGAGAUGGCGGGAACACUGAUGGGGGCCACUGUUCACGGGCUCAUCGUGUCCGGCGCCCACAGACCCCACAGGUGCGAGGCCACUGCGACCCCGGGGCCAGUCACUGUCUCCCCGAAUGCAGCCAAAAGUCUUCUGGGAUGCAUCCAGCCACCCUGCACCCCACUGCCAUGCCCCGGCCCGUGCCACUACCUCCCUCCCCACCCCACAACUGCUGCCUCCGCCUCUUACACGGCAUCCCAUCCUUGCCUUCUGCCACCUCCCUGUGCAGUCAGGUGCCCUUUGAAAGGAGUUUGAGCAAUGUUCAUCCUCAUUGCCUCCUGUUCUGCCCACGAUCCCCUCCCCCAAGAUACUCUUUGUGGGGAAGAGGGGCUGGGGCAAUGCAGGCUGGGUGACCGACUACCCCAGUCCCAGGGAAGGUGGGGCCCUGCCUCUAGGAUGCUGCAGCAGAGUAAGCAAGGAGGCCCGAAUCGACCAUAAAGGGUGUAGGGGCCACCUCCUCCCCCUGUUCUGUUGGGGAGGGGUAGCCAUGAUUUGUCCCAGCCUGGGACUCCCCCUCUGGUUUCCUAUUUGCAGUUACUUGAAUAAAAAAAAAUCCUUUUCUGGAAAAAAAAAAAAAAA